CCCUUAGAUGUUCUGGGCCGCACGCGCGCUACACUGAUGCAUUCAACGAGUUUCUUCCUGGUCCGAGAGGAAUGGGUAACCUUUUGAAAGUGCAUCGUGAUAGGGAUAGACUAUUGCAAUUAUUGGUCUUCAACGAGGAAUUCCUAGUAGACGUAGUUCAUCAGACUGCAUCGAUUACGUCCCUGCCCUUUGUACACACCGCCCGUCGCUCCUACCGAUUGAAUGCUCAGGUGAGCCAUUCGGACUUUCAUCAUGCUGGCUUCCAGUUUUGAUGAAGGAAAGUCUUGCGAACCUUAUCAUUUAGAGGAAGGAGAAGUCGUAACA
rnacentral:rRNA from 1 species